CAAGGGAAAGUACCAGCUUUG
rnacentral:miRNA from 1 species